CGCGGCAAACACACGUGGCUAGCUAGAUAGCGUUAGCUCUUCUGAGAUAUAUAUAUAUAUUUUUUUUUUACAAAUGGCAACUGUACAUACAUCUAUAUGGAGGUUGAAACGCUUUGGACGUUUUUUGCCUGGGACCAAAGAAGACGGCGGUAAUCCAUGGAAGAUGUUUGAGCCCAGUGAAAGUGCGGGUGAAUUGGUGCUCACCAUUGUGGAAUCCGGUCAUAUGCUGGUGUCCCAAGGCCACUGUCUUCUGUGCAUUUUUCAGGAUGGGUUUUCCUUGCUUGAUGCUCCAAGCUUCCUCAAAGUUCAGCAGAAAUCAGAUACCCUGCUGUUCCGUCUAACUGUUAAGGGGGAGAGCCGUCUGAUGAGGAUGCAGUUCAGUGGUAGCAGCAGGGCUGAGGCUCUGGAGGAGUGUGGCAGUGCAGUACUCAGACUGAAGGAGUACCUGCCUGUCACCACACAGGGGGGGCCCCCACCACCACCACUCAGCUGCCCCCCAACAUCCAAUCAGCCCCCUACCAAGACCACUGCACAGGAUCAACAGGCGGGUGCUGGGGAGGCUAUGGCUACUGAACCCGAGGUCGUCCAGGGCUCUUUAUCCAUCAAACGUCUUACCCAGCACUUCCUGGGCGAGUAUGGUCUGUCCUUGCCCCUGGUGUACCGCCACAGUGCUCUGUCCCGUGGGGAGCUGGAGCCCUUCCUCCGCCUGUGUCUCUUGGACCCCAGCUUCCCUGCCUUGGUGGAGGAGGUGGAGGGGGAGCUGAAGAGAGUGCUCCAGGACUGAGGAGCUGAAGCUCAUCAACACAAACAGCCAGAGGGAGACAGGUCAACUCACUACACACGAUAAACCCUUGCCAAACUAGAGGCCUUGCCUACAGGUGCAGGAGAUUGGUUGGUGUUUGUCAAAGCACUACACUGUCUUCACACUGUACACAAAGCCAAUGCUUACUUUAUUGGUGAAUUUGCAUAAUUUCUGUUUAGUAGUGUAACAAAUUUACUGACAUAUUUAACGCUGAUACCAUAAUGGGGAGGAUUAUACAGUGCAUACACAAUUCAGACUUCAGAAAUAGAAGUAUGCAUCAUUUAUCUUUUUCAUCUACCCUGUCUUUUCUUUUCAGAUAGCAUCUACAGGAUAUCAAUGCCUUGGGGAACCUAGAGUGCAUACUAUCUCUCCUCGUGUGUGUGUGUGGCGGUUUAAGUGAUUUAACACUCCUAUAGAAGACAAGUGAAGAAGACUUGUAUAAAAUGUAUACAGUUAUAAACAAGACGUAGCAGUGCAUUUCAGUAGGCUGAUAGCAAUAUGUUUUAAACAUCAGAGACCACCACCUAUACAGGAGAAAACAUGUCAAACUGCGUUGGCCCCUCUAAAUUGAAAUGAAUACGAAUGGAGUAAAUACAUCAUUUCAACAUAUAUAUUGUCUAUACAAAGACACCAAACAACUUGUAGUCCAAUAAUCGGAUAAACGGGUGUUGACAUCGUGGUCUGGAUGGACUGUAGUAGAAACGGAUCAAAUAAAAAAUCAUUCUCUGAAAACAUGCAAGAUCUCUCACUUACCAACCAUUUAGAUAAUGAUGCCAUUUGGAGAGAGGGGGAAAGAAGUCAUAGUAACCAAUUAAUUCAUAUCUUGCUGAUAUCCUGAAUAAAGUUGAUAGAACCAUAGGCGGGUGAAGCCUCAACGGCCUUUUUGGCUUUGACUCUACACUCAAAUGAUUUUGUUUGACUCUAGACUCAAAUGAUUAAGCCUUUGUUUGACUUUGACACUUAAAUCUAGGUUUAACCGUUUAUAUUAACAGUUUAUAUUAUUGUAUGUUAUUGAGUAGUUCUGUUAUUAGACUGUUUGAAAAUGAACAGAUAUUACUCUGUAAAAGUAGUAACUAGUUAGUAGUUACCAACGUAGGCUUCUUUGAGAAUAACUUACCUGUGGGUGUGACAGGCUUUGAUUGGAGUAGGGUAACAGGGAUUUUAGAUUCUCUACGUUAAGCCCUCAGCCAUAGGCAGAACUUGUAGGGCAAAGCCAAAAUAACACAUCAAACUUCCCCUGAUUCCCUGUCUCAAGUUAUUGUCAAUGAAAUGAAUUCAUCAGUUCUCCAGAUGGGUGAUAAAAUGGUCCCUGGUUAUCAUCAUUAGCGAGACCGCAACGGUACUUCAACUCUUUCAUUUAAAAGGUUAGCUGUGGACCCCCUCCUGGUUUCCUAAUGUGGAGCAUCUCUAAAGGUCAUAUUAUCAUGCAGCUAAUGUGUGGCGCUGCGCUGUGUGGCAGGCAGCGGUGUCUCUGUCUCCCUUCUCAGUACUGACGGAGCGUCCAGGGAGCGUGUCCCCCGACAGAGGUCAAUUAUUCACAGUGGGUCUCCACUGCUACUGCUAACACAGCAGAGUCAGCGUCAUUAAUAUUCAGCACCGUGUCUAUAGCCUCCGCAACAUGUUCACUUGGUAACAGUGUAAUGUGUGUGGUGAUGGUAGAUGAACCCUGUUUCAAUUGGUUCUUGAUGGCUGUUGAACUUCUAGCCGAGUGCAGGCCCGUAAUCAGAUAUUUCAAUCAUUGUGAGAAUGUCUUUGUAUUGUUCCAGGAGCAGCAGCCUAUUUACUGGGUCAUAAUUCCCUCACGACGCCAGGACAGCGGAGUCACUCACCACCUUCUGGAGAAACUUGAAACCCCA